AACGAACGCUGGCGGCAUGCCUAACACAUGCAAGUCGAACGAGACCUUCGGGUCUAGUGGCGCACGGGUGCGUAACGCGUGGGAACCUGCCCUUAGGUUCGGAAUAACUCCCCGAAAGGGGUGCUAAUACCGGUUAAUGUCUUCGGACCAAAGAUUUAUCGCCUUUGGAUGGGCCCGCGUUGGAUUAGCUAGUUGGUAGGGUAAAAGCCUACCAAGGCGACGAUCCAUAGCUGGUCUGAGAGGAUGAUCAGCCACACUGGGACUGAGACACGGCCCAGACUCCUACGGGAGGCAGCAGUGGGGAAUAUUGGACAAGGGGCGAAAGCCUGAUCAAGCAAUGCCGCGGGAGUGAUGAAGGCCUUAGGGUUGUAAAGCUCUUUUACACGGGAUGAUAAUGACAGUACCGGGAGAAUAAGCUCCGGCUAACUCCGUG
rnacentral:rRNA from 1 species